GUGUGUUGGAAUGGUGAUCAAUUUGCAUACUACCUCUUUAUUAUAUAGGAGGAUCUGUGCUCAAUAACCAAUUUUUCAAAAUGCCAGAACAGAGAGGUGAUUUUGGAUUUUAAUGUAGAACUACAUAAAACAUUACAACUUAUCUGAGGUACCAAUGCGUGCAUAAAUAAGUGGAACAACAAAAAGAUAUUUCUCUUCCUUCCUCUAAAAAAUAAAUUAAAAAAAAAACUAAAAAAGAGCUCUACCCAGUAUGUUCAGUGGAUAGAGCGUUGGCCUGUGGACCAAAUGGUCCUGGUUUUGAUUCCAGUAAAGGGCCAAAAUUUUGAGGAGGGAAAAUACUUGAGCUUAACAGUUAUUCUGAGACAGGGCAAGAGAAAAUCACUAUAGAGGGGGGGCCUUGUGCAGCACGCUGGGCAGAGGUGCAGGCGCGGCUGCAGUGAGCAGGGCGCCCCCACGAAGAGGGAUCGGGGUUCAGUGGGGAGGCAGUGGCCCCAUAGCGUGGUGUGGCACCUGGGACAGAAAGCCAUCCCCAUUCCGGCAUGAGCCGCAGAACUGUUUGAGGAGGCUAUUGCAAAAGAUGCCUACUGCUGUGCUCAACAAGGGAAGAGGAAAACCCUCCAGAGGGGAGAUCUGGGUAAAGCUAUAGAAGCUGUUAGAUUGGUAGAGCGUCGUGUAGGGAUAGAGU